ensembl:snRNA U2 U2 spliceosomal RNA
AUCGCUUCUUGGCCUUUUGGCUAAGAUUAAGUGUAGUAACUGUUCUUAUCAGUUUAAUGUCUGAUAUAUCCUCUAUCCUUAGAACUGUACCCAGG